CUGGUAAGGGCAUUCCUGCCCAAUUGAAAUGGAUUGGAAAUCCUGCUCUCGUUCAUCCAUCUCUCAUCUCGCUCCUCCCGUCUGCCGACUUCGGAUCGCCUUCCACCGAUUCUCUUCGUUUCUUUCUUUCAUCGCCUCUGCUCGAAGAACUACAAUCGAUUACAGAUCUCGAGGAUGUAAGCAUGCAGAACUCACAAAUGGAUUUCAAACCUGCUUCUAUAGUGUUCUAUUUCUUCCUUUAUCUGCUCCAGGCCGUAACUCGAUCGAGACGGAUUCUACAAAAUGGCAUGUGGUUCAUCUUGUAUUCAACCAGUGAACCUUGGUCUUGGAUCACAAACAAAGCUCUUCCUUCACAAAUCCAGAGUUCCAUUAUGGAGUUAUUCACCUGGAAAGCUCCUUAUUCGAGCAGUACAGGAAAACGAGGGUCCGCGAAGACUAGUCGACAUCAUUCGUCUCAUCCCAGAUAUCUCAAGGAACUACUUCAAAAGCCGUCCUAGGAGAGCACUUUUUGGCGGUAUCUCAUUGUUGGGUGGGUUUUAUGUUGCACAGACGAUCUCUCUAUCAUUUGGUGCAUUGGGAGUGAAUGAUGUAAUUGCUGCAGUGGUAUGUGUCCUCCUUACAGAGUUCGUGACAAGGUUUUACUACAGCCGACCCAGAGUGACCUUCCCUGUUGCAUUACUAAACAAUUUUAAGAUGGGGUUCACGUAUGGACUUUUCAUUGAUGCUUUUAAGCUUGCUAGUUAGUAUGACAUUCCUUUGUUAUAAGAUGUGGCACUAGGGCUCUCUGUAUAUGAGCUUCCUUGAUGCCCAAAAACUUUUAUUAUUAUUUUAGCAAUUUAGGUGUAUAGGUUUUGUCCAAUUAAUUCUGGAAAUAGACGGUCUACCCUUUUGAUUUGUCUAUUAGGUAAAAUACAUAACACAAUUUAUACCCAGUCAAAAAUCAA